UACGUAGGGGGCAAGCGUUGUCCGGAAUCAUUGGGCGUAAAGCGCGUGUAGGCGGUCUGUCGCGUCUGCUGUGAAAAUCCGGGGCUCAACCCCGGACUUGCAGUGGGUACGGGCAGACUAGAGUGUGGUAGGGGAGACUGGAAUUCCUGGUGUAGCGGUGAAAUGCGCAGAUAUCAGGAAGAACACCCGUGGCGAAGGCGGUUCUCUGGGACGGUACUGACGCUGAGGAGCGAAAGCGUGGGGAGCGAACAGG
rnacentral:rRNA from 1 species